rnacentral:rRNA from 1 species
GACGAACGCUGGCGGCGUGCCUAAUACAUGCAAGUCGAACGAGAGCGACCGGUGCUUGCACUGGUCAAUCUAGUGGCGAACGGGUGAGUAACACGUGGGUAACCUGCCCAUCAGAGGGGGAUAACAUCCGGAAACGGAUGCUAAAACCGCAUAGGUCUUCGAGCCGCAUGGCUUGAAGAGGAAAAGAGGCGCAAGCUUCUGCUGAUGGAUGGACCCGCGGUGCAUUAGCUAGUUGGUGAGGUAACGGCUCACCAAGGCCGUGAUGCAUAGCCGACCUGAGAGGGUGAUCGGCCACAUUGGGACUGAGACACGGCCCAAACUCCUACGGGAGGCAGCAGUAGGGAAUCUUCCGCAAUGGACGCAAGUCUGACGGAGCAACGCCGCGUGAGUGAAGAAGGUUUUCGGAUCGUAAAACUCUGUUGUUAGAGAAGAACAAGUGCUAGAGUAACUGUUAGCGCCUUGACGGUAUCUAGCCAGAAAGCCACGGCUAACUACGUG